rnacentral:tRNA from 1 species
GAUCGCAUAGCGGAGUAGAUAUCGCGUUAAAUUCCGGAUCUAAAGGUCAUGUGUUCGAAUCCCACUGCGAUUG